UUUUUAGAAUGAUGGACAUUUUAGGAAGCCAGUGCAAACGCAACAGUUUUGUAGGAUCUAUCCCCACAGGUCUGUUGCGUGUGCUUUUUUGAUGAAUUCUGACUGAAUUGGUAGCACAUGAACUCCAUAAUAAUUAAUAGGUUACAGCGUAAGCUGGGAUAUACCUUUAUAC
rfam:Xenorhabdus bovienii SS-2004 chromosome, complete genome